GCGCAGCAGUCGCGAAACCUCCGCAAUGCUCGAAAGAGCGACGGGGGACUCCAAGUGCCUACGCUUUGCGUAGGCUUUUCCCAAGCCUAAAAAGACUUGGGGAAUAAGGGCUGGGUAAGACGGGUGCCAGCCGCCGCGGUAAUACCCGCAGCCCGAGUGGUGGCCGCUUUUAUUGGGCCUAAAGCGUCCGUAGCCGGUCUGGUAAAUGCCUGGGGUAAAUCGUCUGGCUCAACCAGACGAAUUCCGGGUAGACUGCCAGACUAGGGGACCGGAGGAAGGAGAGGGUACUCCGGGGGUAGGGGUGAAAUCCUGUAAUCCUCGGAGGACCACCGGUGGCGAAGGCGCUCUCCUAGGACGGGUCCGACGGUGAGGGACGAAAGCCAGGGGAGCAAACCGGAUUAGAUACCCGCGUAGU
rnacentral:rRNA from 1 species